rnacentral:rRNA from 1 species
CGUACCUUUUGUAGAAUGGGCCAGCGAGUUAUCAUAUAUAGCAAGGUUAAAUCUUUAAGAGAUGAAGCCUUAGCGAAAGCGAGUCUUAAUAGGGCGAAAGUUAGAUAUGAUAGACCCGAAACCGGGUGAUCUAUCCAUGGUCAGAGUGAAGGUGAAGUAAAAUUCACUGGAGGCUCGAACCGGGUGCGGUUUAAAACGCAUCGGAUGAACUGUGGAUAGGGGCGAAAAACCAAACGAACCCGGAGAUAGCUGGUUCUCCUCGAAAUAGCUUUAGGGCUAGCCUAUGACCAAAGAUUUAAGGAGGUAGAGCACUGACUGGCCUAGGGCGGCUAACCGUACCAAAGCCUAUCAAACUCCGAAUGCCAAAAAAUCAAGUCAUGGAGUCAGACUUAGAGGGAUAAGCUCCUAAGUCGAAAGGGAAACAGCCCAGACCGACAGCUAAGGUCCCAAAAUCUGAAUUAAGUGGAAAAGGAUGUGAACCUACUAAGACAACCAGGACGUUGGCUUAGAAGCAGCCAUACAUUUAAAGAAUGCGUAAUAGCUCACUGGUCAAGUGGGUUUGCGCCGAAAAUAAACGGGGCUAAAAUUCAGUACCGAAGCUUCGGAUUGAUAGAGAAUUUAAAAUUGCUCAAUCAACUCUAGAACAAACAUAAAGAGAAGAAAAGGUAAAACUUAGACGGAAAUAUUAAUAAUAUACAAUCAAGAUAAAACGAGUUAUUCAAAAUUUACGCAAAUAUCAAACACUAAGAUAAAGGUAAGUUGUAAAUAACUACGAUAUCACCGAAAUAACAGUCAUAAAACAUAAUUGUUUAAAUAACAACUGGUUUAAAAUAUAGUCGGCACUUUGACAAAUCUAAGAUUUGAAACAGUGCGACAUUUGACCUACUAACAAAUCAAAGAUUUGAGUUAGGUCAAGAAAACGUCAAAAGUAUUUACCAGCAAUUUUAAAUACUCUAUCAGUGGUAGAGGAGCAUUGUAUUAGGGAAGAAGCCCAAGCGAAAGCAGGCGUGGACUUAAUACAAGAGAGAAUGCUGGCAUGAGUAGCGAGAAGGAGUGUGAGAAUCACUCCCGUCGAAACCCUAAGGACUCCUGAGCAAGGCUCGUCCCCUCAGGGAAAGUCGGGACCUAAGGCGAGGCCAAAAGGCGUAGCCGAUGGAUAACAGGUCUAUAUUCCUGUACCGCUUAAAGUCGCUAUAGAGAAGUGAUGACGCAAGAGGAUAAGCUAAGCUGCCCGAUGGAAGGCAGUCUAAGCACAAAGGCCGAUUAGUAGGCAAAUCCGCUAAUCAUAAAGCUGAUGUGUGAUAGGUAUCGAAAACAUGAGUAGAGAAGUAGCCGAUUUCAAAUUGCCAAGAAAAGUCACUAUCAAUGACCAAAGCGCCCGUACCAAAACCGACACAGGUAGGGAGGUAGAGAAUACCAAGACGCGCGGAAGAACCUUUGUUAAGGAACUCGGCAAAAUGUCCCCGUAACUUCGGGAGAAGGGGAGCCAGAGCGAUCUGGCCACAGAAACCAGGCCCAAGCGACUGUUUACCAAAAACACAAGUUUCUGCAAAAUCGUAAGAUGAAGUAUAGGAGCUGACACCUGCCCGGUGCUGGAAGGUUAAGGGGAAGGCUUAGCGAAUGCGAAGGCU